GUGGGGAAUAUUGGGCAAUGGGCGAAAGCCUGACCCAGCAACGCCGCGUGAAGGAAGAAGGUUUUCGGAUCGUAAACUUCUAUCCUUGGUGAAGAUAAUGACGGUAGCCAAGAAGGAAGCCCCGGCUAACUACGUGCCAGCAGCCGCGGUAAUACGUAGGGGGCAAGCGUUGUCCGGAAUGAUUGGGCGUAAAGGGCGCGUAGGCGGCCCGGUAAGUCUGAAGUGAAAGUCCUGCUUUUAAGGUGGGAAUUGCUUUGGAUACUGUCGGGCUUGAGUGCAGGAGAGGUAAGCGGAAUUCCCGGUGUAGCGGUGAAAUGCGUAGAGAUCGGGAGGAACACCAGUGGCGAAGGCGGCUUACUGGAAUGUAACUGACGCUGAGGCGCGAAAGUGUGAGGAGCAAACAGGAUUAGAAACCCCGGUAGUCC
rnacentral:rRNA from 1 species